rnacentral:rRNA from 1 species
AUUGAACGCUGGCGGCAGGCCUAACACCUGCAAGUCGAACGAGUGGCGGACGGGUGAGUAAUGUCUGGGAAACUGCCCGAUGGAGGGGGAUAACUACUGGAAACGGUAGCUAAUACCGCAUACCAUCGGAUGUGCCCAGAUGGGAUUAUCUAGUAGGUGGGGUAACGGCUCACCUAGGCGACAAUCCCGAGCUGGGCUGAGAGGGUGACCGGCCACACUGGAACUGAGACACGGGCCAGACUCCUACGGGAGGCAGCAGGGGGGAAUAUUGCACAAUGGACGCAAGCCUGAUGCAGCCAUGCCGCGUGUAUGAAGAAGGCCUUCGGGUUGUAAAGCACUUUCGGCGAGGAGGCGUUACUCGCAGAGGAAGCACCGGCUAACUACGUGCCAGCAGCCGCGGUAAUAC